GUAUGAUUCAAGAAUGCAUUACAGAGCAGAUGGUUAUUUCAAUCACAAGAACCUUGCUUGGUCUAUUGUAAUGGUGCCAAACUGGAUUCAUAAUGUAAAUCCUAUAGCAUUUUAAGAAUGCAAAUAAUUCAACAUUAGUGACAAAAGCAGAUUGUGAGACUUCUGCAAAACACAGUACAGGGUUAUUCACUACACUGCAAAGUUUUGCAAAUUAAUUCCAAAAAGCAAAUGUAACUAAGCAGACUACAGCAGAAUUGGAGAAUUGUUCAAGAUCAGCUAUUUUAAACUUGUUUUUGCCAUUCAGAGUUAAUUCUAAAAUUUUGAGUUUUGGCAAACCCUGAACAGUCCUAGCAAUUGAUUUGGCAAAACUAGUCUAAAGCAGAUUCUUAAAGUCACUUGGAAAAGGUAGCAUAUAGACCUUAAAAAGCCAACUUGUCAUUUCCAUGGAUCCAAUAGUCUUGUUAUGGUGCUAAAACAGAUUUUAUUUUUUUACCAACAUGAUUCAGUUAACACAUAGGAGGGAUUGGACUAUGCAAUUUUUGUAUUGAGAAGAAUGUGCGCAUGAGGUAGAUAAAUGCCUAUUGGGUUACAGAGAACAUAUAAAACAUUUUUAACCCUCUGAGUGCCAAAUGAUGGCUAUACAUAAUGUAGGACACAUGGCUGGCAGUCGGGUUAAAGGAAAGUCAUAGUUUAUACUACAAUAAACUACCUUUUAAAUAGUCAGUGUGUUGUAGUGUAUUCUUAUUUACCCAUUCACUUGCCAGUGCUACCAUCAUAAAUUAGCCAGAUAAUGCCCACAUUAAAAGUGCAAGAAUAAAUCUGAUACAACAUACAAAAACUUUGCAGGUAAUUAAAAUCAGUAUGUGCCUCAAACCGUUAUCGUCAUAAGAAUAGCUCACAUGUCCAAUAAAGUCUCAAUCACUUCAGUGUGCCUCGUAAAGUUCUAUUAGCAUAUAUACAAUUUCCCCCCCCAUUCACAUAGUUACAAAGGAAUACAGGCUGAAAUGAUUCAAGUUCAUCCUCCUACACAUAUGUAUUUCUACUGUUGAUGAUAUUUGAGAUUACUGAACUUGCAUUUAUGGGAUUCCAUACAGACACCUAUACCCAGGGCCGGUGCAAGGAUUUUUGGGUACAUAGGCGAAGAUGUAUCUUUCCACCCCCCCCAAAUAACAUCUUCACCUAUGUGCCUCUUAACCAGCCCCUCUCCCCGUCCAUUAGUGGUCCCCUCCCUUCCCUGUCCCUUAGUGUUCUUCUAAGCUCUCCCCUCUUUUUCCUGUCCCUUGGUGUUUCUCUCCCCUCCCCUCCCUGUCCCUUGGUGCACCCUCC